AGAGUUUGAUCCUGGCUCAGGACGAACGCUGGCGGCGCGCCUAACACAUGCAAGUCGAACGAGCGAGAGAGAGCUUGCUUUCUUGAGCGAGUGGCGAACGGGUGAGUAACGCGUGAGGAACCUGCCUCAAAGAGGGGGACAACAGUUGGAAACGACUGCUAAUACCGCAUAAGCCCACAGCUCGGCAUCGAGCAGAGGGAAAAGGAGCAAUUCGCUUUGAGAUGGCCUCGCGUCCGAUUAGCUAGUUGGUGAGGUAACGGCCACCAAGGCAACGAUCGGUAGCCGGACUGAGAGGUUGAACGGCCACAUUGGGACUGAGACACGGCCCAGGACUCCGUACGGGAGGCCA
rnacentral:rRNA from 1 species